AUUGAACGCUGGCGGCAGGCCUAACACAUGCAAGUCGAACGAGUGGCGGACGGGUGAGUAAUGUCUGGGAAACUGCCUGAUGGAGGGGGAUAACUACUGGAAACGGUAGCUAAUACCGCAUACCAUCGGAUGUGCCCAGAUGGGAUUAGCUAGUAGGUGGGGUAAAGGCUCACCUAGGCGACGAUCCCUAGCUGGUCUGAGAGGAUGACCAGCCACACUGGAACUGAGACACGGUCCAGACUCCUACGGGAGGCAGCAGUGGGGAAUAUUGCACAAUGGGGGCAACCCUGACGCAGCCAUGCCGCGUGAAUGAAGAAGGCCUUCGGGUUGUAAAGUUCUUUCGGUGACGAGGCGUUAAUCACAGAAGAAGCACCGGCUAACUCCGUGCCAGCAGCCGCGGUAAUAC
rnacentral:rRNA from 1 species